CUCCAUUGGCCUGGCUAGGAGGGGAAGAUUGUGGGGAACAAUAUGGAAAUAGAAACACAGGGUGAGGACUGGGGCGCCCCCCACCUCUGAGUCAGUACACCCCAGCCCCUGGUUUCUGUUUGUUUGAGUGAAUGGUAGCCAAAAGGGUGCUGGGGGUGGGGUUGGUGGUGAGGAGAGGUUGUGUGUUCAGAGGGAGAAGGUCUUGAACCUUCACUGAGCACCCCUUACUGUCCCCAUUUUACAGAGCUGGAGACUGAGGCCCUCAGAAGGCAAGUUCCUCCCUGAUGCCACACAGGGUGCUUUCACGGCAAUUAACUAAAGAAGCCCCUUCCAGGCAGAGUGCACACUUUGAUGAGGAAACAGAGACCCGGAGAGAUACAGUCCUUGGCCAGUCAGCCAAGUUGGAGCAUAGCUUGGACUUUGAACCCAGUCUCCCAGCUCCCAGUCUGCCUGCAGCCCUGUCCCUCUCCACCCCCAAGCCCUGACCAGAAUUCUCUUCUGUACAUCCAGAAGGGCUUUCCCAUUCCUCAGACUCUCUGAGGCAAUUACAGUCCCUACCACUCAUGUGGCCCUUAAUCAUUUACUGCCCUUGCAAACAGCCUGUGGUCAAAAGCAAUAAAGUUCGGACUUGGACAGAUCAGACCUCGUGUGGCUGUUGUUUGUGCACACGGCCCACCUCCUUUACUGACUGGAAGAGCUCAGAGGGCAAGAACCAGGUGGCUAGAGGUUUCCGUGUUCUCCCUGCCCUGCUGCC
rnacentral:lncRNA from 10 species